rnacentral:lncRNA from 1 species
AUGGGAUCCCUGGGGCUGGAUCAGUGGGAUGGGAUCCCUGGGGCGGGAUCAGUGGGAUGGGAUCCCUGGGGCUGGAUCAGUGGGAUGGGNAGUGGGAUGGGGUCAGUGGGAUGGGAUCCCUGGGGCUGGAUCAGUGGGAUGGGAUCAGUGGGAUGGGGUCAGUGGGAUGGGAUCCCUGGGGCUGGAUCAGUGGGAUGGGAUCCCUGGGGCUGUAUCAGUGGGAUGGGGUCAGUGGGAUGGGGUCCCUGGGGCUGGAUCAGUGGGAUGGGAUCCCUGGGGCUGGAUCAGUGGGAUGGGAUCAGUGGGAUGGGGUCAGUGGGAUGGGGUCCCUGGGGCUGGAUCAGUGGGAUGGGAUCAGUGGGAUCCCUGGGGCUGGAUCAGUGGGGUGGGAUGGGGUCAGUGGGAUGGGGUCCCUGGGGCUGGAUCAGUGGGAUGGGAUCCCUGGGGUGUGCUGGGGACAGGAUGGGAGCAGCUGCGUGUCAGGCUGGUGGCCUUGGACGCGCACUGAGGACGCGCACUGGGGACAAGCGGUACUGCACGCUGGAAAACGCUGGAACACGGUUGUUUUUCCUGUCCAACUCUUAUCAGUCGAUCUGGAGAGAGAUUCGCUCUCCCCGCAGAGCUGUCAGAGGGAUGGCAUGUUUCCAGGGAGUAGUUUCCUGGCUUUAUAGCGGUAGAGGAAGCGCUGUCAGAGUCACCGCAGUGUCACUGCCGGCAGUGGGAACAGCCCCGGUCCCAGCUGUGCACAUCUCCCUCCAGGAGAGAAGGAGCAGGUACCAGCCACAAACCUUUCCAUGCUGGGACAAGCCAACUUCCACAGCCCUCCAGCUUCCACCAUGUCCCCAGGAGUGUUCUGAGUCCAGCUGCACCUACUGGUCACAUGCAAUGUGUUGGACCUGUCUUCAGUGCCCUUCAGAUGGAUGUUUGUGGAGAUUUCUGUUCCCUGCUUUUCUGAGGGCAUUCAUUCAUUCUACAGUGAAAUGCUCUUGGACAGUGGAGUCCAGCAAAUCCCAGUUCCUCAGGGCCGGGGGUGAAUUCAGAACUCAUCACCCAGGGAAGUGA